rfam:Brachypodium distachyon strain Bd21 chromosome 3, whole genome shotgun sequence.
GAAAUACUUCCUCUGUCCCAACAAAGGAUGUCUCAAUUUUGACUAAAUUUGAAUGCAUCUAUACACCAAGUCAUGUGUAGAUAUAUUCAAAUUUUAACAAACUUGAGACAUCUUUUGUUGGACGGAGGGAGUAUAAU